UGUUUCGGCUAGGGGGUCAUCCCGACUUACCAACCCGAUGCAAACUACGAAUACCGAAGAAUGUUAUCACGGGAGACACACGGCGGGUGCUAACGUCCGUCGUGAAGAGGGAAACAACCCAGACCGCCAGCUAAGGUCCCAAAGUCAUGGUUAAGUGGGAAACGAUGUGGGAAGGCACAGACAGCCAGGAUGUUGGCUUAGAAGCAGCCAUCAUUUAAAGAAAGCGUAAUAGCUCACUGGUCGAGUCGGCCUGCGCGGAAGAUGUAACGGGGCUAAACCAUGCACCGAAGCUGCGGCAGCGACACUAUGUGUUGUUGGGUAGGGGAGCGUUCUGUAAGCCUGCGAAGGUGUGCUGUGAGGCAUGCUGGAGGUAUCAGAAGUGCGAAUGCUGACAUAAGUAACGAUAAAGCGGGUGAAAAGCCCGCUCGCCGGAAGACCAAGGGUUCCUGUCCAACGUUAAUCGGGGCAGGGUGAGUCGACCCCUAAGGCGAGGCCGAAAGGCGUAGUCGAUGGGAAACAGGUUAAUAUUCCUGUACUUGGUGUUACUGCGAAGGGGGGACGGAGAAGGCUAUGUUAGCCGGGCGACGGUUGUCCCGGUUUAAGCAUGUAGGCUGGUUAUCCAGGCAAAUCCGGAUAACCAAGGCUGAGGUGUGAUGACGAGGCACUACGGUGCUGAAGUAACAAAUGCCCUGCUUCCAGGAAAAGCCUCUAAGCAUCAGGUAACAUCAAAUCGUACCCCAAACCGACACAGGUGGUCAGGUAGAGAAUACCAAGGCGCUUGAGAGAACUCGGGUGAAGGAACUAGGCAAAAUGGUGCCGUAACUUCGGGAGAAGGCACGCUGGUGUGUAGGUGAAGCCCCUGCGGGUGGAGCUGAGACCAGUCGAAGAUACCAGCUGGCUGCAACUGUUUAUUAAAAACACAGCACUGUGCAAACACGAAAGUGGACGUAUACGGUGUGACGCCUGCCCGGUGCCGGAAGGUUAAUUGAUGGGGUUAUCAGUAAGGAGAAGCUCUUGAUCGAAGCCCCGGUAAACGGCGGCCGUAACUAUAACGGUCCUAAGGUAGCGAAAUUCCUUGUCGGGUAAGUUCCGACCUGCACGAAUGGCGUAAUGAUGGCCAGGCUGUCUCCACCCGAGACUCAGUGAAAUUGAACUCGCUGUGAAGAUGCAGUGUACCCGCGGCAAGACGGAAAGACCCCGUGAACCUUUACUAUAGCUUGACACUGAACAUUGAGCCUUGAUGUGUAGGAUAGGUGGGAGGCUUUGAAGCGUGGACGCCAGUCUGCGUGGAGCCAACCUUGAAAUACCACCCUUUAAUGUUUGAUGUUCUAACGUUGGCCCCUGACCGGGGUUGCGGACAGUGUCUGGUGGGUAGUUUGACUGGGGCGGUCUCCUCCCAAAGCGUAACGGAGGAGCACGAAGGUUAGCUAAUCCUGGUCGGACAUCAGGAGGUUAGUGCAAUGGCAUAAGCUAGCUUGACUGCGAGCGUGACGGCGCGAGCAGGUGCGAAAGCAGGUCAUAGUGAUCCGGUGGUUCUGAAUGGAAGGGCCAUCGCUCAACGGAUAAAAGGUACUCCGGGGAUAACAGGCUGAUACCGCCCAAGAGUUCAUAUCGACGGCGGUGUUUGGCACCUCGAUGUCGGCUCAUCACAUCCUGGGGCUGAAGUAGGUCCCAAGGGUAUGGCUGUUCGCCAUUUAAAGUGGUACGCGAGCUGGGUUUAGAACGUCGUGAGACAGUUCGGUCCCUAUCUGCCGUGGGCGCUGGAGAAUUGAGGGGGGCUGCUCCUAGUACGAGAGGACCGGAGUGGACGCAUCACUGGUGUUCGGGUUGUCAUGCCAAUGGCACUGCCCGGUAGCUAAAUGCGGAAGAGAUAAGUGCUGAAAGCAUCUAAGCACGAAACUUGCCCCGAGAUGAGUUCUCCCUGAGACUU
rnacentral:rRNA from 1 species